GUCGCAUUUAAAGAUGACUCCAGGCUCUGUUAUUUGAGUUGGUAUGUACAUACUGGAGUUAGCCCUGGGUGCGCCAACAACCAGCCUGAACAGCAAGUUGUUAGUGAGGCAGACACCCAGCGGACCACAACCAAAGUGACCUAGAAGACAGAGUACCCCAGAAAGUCGGUAUGUACUUGAAGUGGUGAGAUCCCUUCCAAAUAAUAACCCUGCUCUUCCUCAUUGUUUGCUGUACACCAACAGGAGUCCUCAGUAAAGAGACGAGGAUUUAAAAGGAUUGGAGGCCAGCAGCUCGCGCUCAGAAGCAUACCAGACCUAAGAGAGGUCAGAGCUCCUCACCUGCGCCCUGCAGACGCCACCUCCUCCCCCCUUCUGCUUCCCCCCCUGGUCUCCUCUGGGAAGUCCCAAGUAUUUUUUAAAUUUCCAUAGUGCACAGAAACAUCAAGGAGAAGACUACGUUCAAGCCCCCCAGGAUCCACGUACUGUGAGAGUAAUUCCAGUUCAGCCAGGGAAUUGUUUUUACCUUUGUAUUUCAUUUCCUUUUUCUAUUCUUUAUUGAUAUAUAUAUAUAGCAAGUUAGUCAUUAUUCACGUCACACUUUAUUAUACUUAAUCCUCUGCCUGUCGAGUAAGACUUCAUGAAUAUUAUCAUCGGCAGAGUUUGAAUAUUGCUUAUAUUAUAAGUCCACUCAAUGGAGAAUGGAAGGCUCAGUAAUUUAUAUUUGCAAUUGGUCCUUGUUUACGGCUUGUCUUGUCCAUUCCAGCCUGUCUAGGGUUGAGAUGUACUCUAGAAUGGGGAGGUGUUCAAGAUUUUAAGCCAGAACCAAGGAAAGUAAAGUCUUUUACCAGUUUCAUGCAUCUUUGUCUAUAUGCAAGUUGCCCCUUUGAGCUCUAAACAUCCAUUCUCUCGAAAAAGCUAUCUCUUCUCCCAUUGCCUGUUGGAAUUACCCCCUACAGAGACGAGGAUUUAAAAGGAUUGCUACCUUCUCCCCCCUUGUGCUUCCCCCCCUGGUCUCCUCUGAGAAGUCCCAAGUAUUUUUUAAAUUUCCAUAGUGCACAGAAACAUUAAAGAGAAUACUACGUUCAAUCCCCCUGCACAGAAACAUCAAGGAGAAGACUACGUUCAAGCCCCCCAGGAUCCAGACAAACACCUUGCCUGAUUGUGGUUGGAAUUGGAAACCCUUGGAGCAAGCUUUCAUUUUCAAUCCGUUUGCGCAAAUUUCCAAACACCGUGUCUGGGUGCCCCUAGCCACGUUUUCCGGUGGAUCAACCAAUCGACCCCCUUAUUAGUCUCCUGGACCUCUGCAAAUUAAUGUAAAUACAAUGCAUUUUAAACUAAAGUCCAGCUUUUAUGUAAAUUCCUCCUUCUUCAGUAAUAUCAGCUUUAUGCCUUAGUAGUUUUUUUUCUUUUU